UACGGAGGGUGCAAGCGUUAUCCGGAUUCACUGGGCUUAAAGGGUGCGUAGGCGGGCUAGUAAGUCAGUGGUGAAAUCUUCAAGCUUAACUUGGAAACUGCCAUUGAUACUAUUUAUCUUGAAUGUUCUGGAGGUCAGCGGAAUAUGUCAUGUAGCGGUGAAAUGCUUAGAUAUGACAUAGAACACCUAUUGCGAAGGCAGCUGACUACGGAAAUAUUGACGCUGAGGCACGAAAGCGUGGGGAUCAAACAGG
rnacentral:rRNA from 1 species